GAUGAAAACGCAGCGAAAUGCGAUACUUGGUGUGAAUUGCAGAAUCCCGUGAACCAUCGAGUCUUUGAACGCAAGUUGCGCCCGAAGCCAUCAGGUUGAGGGCACGUCUGCCUGGGCGUCACAUAUCGUUGCCCAAUGCCUAUUGCAGUGCAAUAGGAAUUUCUAGGGCGAAUGAUGGCUUCCCGUGAGCGUUGUUGCCUCGCGGUUGGUUGAAAAUCGAGUCCUUGGUAGGGUGUGCCAUGGUAGAUGGUGGUCGAGUUAGAACGAUACCGAUCAUGUGCAUGCUCCCCAAAAUAUGGCCUCUAUGACCCACAUGCGUCUUUUGACGCUCAUGACGAGACCUCAGGUCAGGCGGGGCUACCCGCUGAAUUUAAGCAUAUCAAUAAGCGGAGGA
rnacentral:misc_RNA from 1 species